rnacentral:rRNA from 1 species
AACGAACGCUGGCGGCGUGCCUAACACAUGCAAGUCGAACGGAAUGAGGGGCUUGCUCCUCAUUUAGUGGCGCACGGGUGAGUAACGCGUAGAUAAUCUGCCUGAUGAUCUGGGAUAACAUUUCGAAAGAGGUGCUAAUACCUGAUAAGCCCACGACGGCCUUGGUCGUUGCGGGAAAAGGGGGGGACCAUUUGGCCUUCUGUCAUCAGAUGAGUCUGCGUACCAUUAGCUAGUUGGUAGGGUAAAGGCCUACCAAGGCGACGAUGGUUAGCUGGUCUGAGAGGAUGAUCAGCCACACUGGAACUGAGACACGGUCCAGACUCCUACGGGAGGCAGCAGUGGGGAAUUUUGCGCAAUGGGCGAAGCCUGACGCAGCAACGCCGCGUGAGUGAUGAAGGCUUUCGGGUCGUAAAGCUCUGUCAAUGGGAAAGAAGUGUAUUGUGGCUAAUAUCCACGAUACUUGACGGUACCCAUAGAGGAAGCACCGGCUAACUCCGUGCCAGCAGCCGCCGUAA